GACAGUUAGUGUUCGUAAUGAUAAUCUUGGAUGAGAAAAGAGCCUACAGGGUCUUUUAGAUCAUCACAGUUAAAUUAUACUUGGCUAAUAUAGUUUGAAUAUUUAGUACAAUUUCAUGUUCAAAACUUCUGAAACACUUUUAUUCACAUGUAGACCAUAUAAUACUUAUAUUAUAGUAGACCAUCCUAUUUCACAAUCAAAUUAUACAACAGUAUACUAAAUUAUCAUAUCAGUUUUUUGUUUCUUUAAUAGUUGCUAAUAUAUGUGUAUAGUUGUGAACAUACCUGUAUAUGUGUAUGUGAUAUGUAUAUAUAUCAACUGUAUAGUUAAAACACCACAUGUAUAGAAGAGACCAUCUGACUAGUAUUUAAGCUUAGCCAUGAGAAUGGAAUUUGGAAGAUGAAGAAUGUGACCUGGAGGAAAGAAGAAAAUGAUUACAGAGGGGCAUUUGAGAGUGAGAGGAUAGAGAAGAGAGAAAGAGGUUGAGGAAAGAAGAUAUCAGAGUCCCCUCACUGCCCUCCCCAUUAACACACUCAAGGCUAAGCUAGUGAGGGGAGAGUAUCUUUGGGAUACUGGACAAAAUAUGGAAUUCCAAGAACCAGGAAGCUUUUGUCUUAUUCUAAAAGGAUAUAACUUGCAGGCUGUCUCCAGAUCAAUUGAGUGGUAGAUCCAUAUUACAAAUAAACAUGAUAGCAGAGUGUGAUUAGGCAGAAGAAGGUGCAUCUCAGCACCUCCUUCUGUGUAAUGUGGAAAUGAGCAGCUAUUGUAGUGGGAAUGAGCAACUCCACAGUAAAGGCAUUAGGCUGUGCCAUCUGGGCAGUGGAUGACAGAGAUAUCAGUGUGUGGCUGGGGUCUGAAGCCUGUUCAGGGUCAAGAUGAGCCUAAGUCAUCCAGAAAGGCUGAUGAAAUCAGCAAAAGUCAGCCAGACAAAGGGCACUGUCAAGGCCAUCAUAUGGCUCUAAGCAUCCCUUUUCCCACCUCCUCAAGAGCACCAAGAAAGACACCAACAUCCAUUGCCAAUUUCCUUCUCCUUGCCAGUAGGGAGGCUGAAAAAAAACAGAUACUCUCUUUCUAUUAAUAUAUCUUCCUUAUAGAGUAGGAUGGAUAUUUGGCUAAGUAUUGAUCAAUAAGAUAAAGUGGAAUUUGCUGGGUGGUGGGCGGGGGUCCUUUGUGUAAUAAUUUUGUGUCUUGAUAAAGUAGGAAUAUGGCUGGGACCAUCCCUGACUCUCUUUUUUCCUUGAAUGUGAACACAUGAGUGAAGCAUACAUCCAUUGUCCAUGGGGCAAGAAACAUGAGGAUGAAAAGCCAAUAUGUUAAGGACAUGAAGUGAAAAGCGGGAAGAGCUUCUUAUUCAUGUUAUCACUGAGCAGCGGGAACUGGGGGCUCUGCUCAUUAUAGUUGCCCACGGCCUCCAGUCAAUGAAAUUUCCGGCCAAUGAAAUGCUCUACUGUGACUGAAGCAGCAAAGAGAAGAUGUUCUGCCGGAGGCCUCUCCAGAUUGUGAUGCACUGGGAGCAAGCCACCAUGAACAUAUCCUCAGGUCUCCAGUCUUCUGCCAUCGCAUGAAAAAUGGAGCUUGUCAAACACAGAGCAGAGCUGAACUUUCUGAAUUCCACAGGACAGUUCAGAGUGCUUGGAAUGACACCCACCUGCAAUUUAAACAAAAAAGAAGGAUGAGUAAGUGAGGAGCUAAAAAUUGCAUGUUUCCCUAAAUUAGAUUUAUUUGUAAGCUUUAAGUAAGUGCAAACAUAU
rnacentral:lncRNA from 10 species